rnacentral:misc_RNA from 1 species
GUUUUCUUUUGCUUCUCUCUCUCGAAAAACCAACGUUUAUGCCAUUACCUUUCCUCUUUUUUUCUGCUCUCUCUCUCUCUAUAUUUAUAUACAUAAUAACAUACAUUUCUUUUUCACUGUACUUUUAGGAGAGAGAAAAGAAGAUGCAGAAGUCUUGAUCAUCAUUAGAGACAACAUAUACACAGAUUUGAGAGCAAAAGAAUUUUUAUUUGAAUUUUCUUUGAAAAACCAGAAAAGGAAUAUAGAAAAGAAGGGACCCUGUUUCUUUUUUUUUUGGUUUGAGAUUGAACAAUGGGAUCAUCUUCGGGGCAGGUUAGUGGCUUUGAUCUCUCAUUCAAGAUCUUGUUGAUCGGUGAUUCUGGGGUUGGCAAAAGCAGUCUCCUUGUCAGUUUCAUUUCCAGUUCUGUAGAGGAUCUUUCUCCCACCAUUGGUGUUGAUUUUAAGAUCAAGCAGCUAACAGUAGGUGGGAAGCGAUUGAAGCUUACAAUUUGGGAUACUGGUAUGUUAUCUGUUAAUUUAUUGAAUAUUUGAUUUUUGUGUUUCUACUAUUUAUCCUCAUGAGUAAGUGCUGAAUCAAAAGAUUUUCAAAUAUUUUUUUAACCAGUAUUUAAGUUUGACAUUAAUGCAACAGUGUGACAUUCAAAGUAAAACAAAAACAUGAGAAGAACUAUUCACUCAAAAGAAGUCAGAACGUGGCAAGUGACCACUUCGCUUUUGCCAACUCCUUUAUAGACAAUCGUUUCGACUUUAACAUGUCAGAUCCACUUAAAUAUGCUAGUUAGUUUGGCUCAUAUAAUUUCUUAGAUGUAUUACCAC